UCUCCGUUGGUGAACCAGCGGAGGGAUCAUUACCGAGUUUACAACUCCCAAACCCAAUGUGAACGCUACCAAACCGUUGCCUCGGCGGGAUAUCCGCCCCGGGCGCGUCGCAGCCCUGGACCAAGGCGCCCGCCGGAGGACCAACCCAAAACACCUAUUGUAUACCAGCACGCGGGGUUUUCCUCUAUAAUUCUAAGCCCUCGCGGCGCCACUCGCGGGCGACCCGAAAACGAAUCAAAACUUUCGACAACGGAUCUCUUGGUUCUGGCAUCGAUGAAGAACGCAGC
rnacentral:misc_RNA from 1 species